CUUGUGUGUGUGCUCUGUUCCUUCCUCUCUGCUGCCAAAAGUUUGAACACUUUUACUCUGCUGCUGACUGGUCAGCCAGCCAAGUUUGAAAAUGAAAGGGAAAAGAGAGAGAGACUGUCCCUGUGAGUAACUGAACAUUAAAAUAAGAAUUAUCGAUAUGCGUUAUGCUGUUCUGUAGUCAGUGAUUGGUAAGCUAAUAAACGUUUCUUCAGUAUAAUUGGACUCAAAGAAGCUAGGGUUCUGGGGCAUGUUAUUUUAAGUUGGUAUGUUACCCCAGGAUGGGUCAUUCCACAUCAUAUGGACAUUGGAAAACUAUCUUGUUCCAGUCUUGCAGUAACCCACCACAGGCCAUGUGGAUGUUUGUAAUCUAUUUAUCUACAGGCUCACCUUCAAAAAUUAGGAUUCAAAAGCUAUCUAUGCAAUAUACUCAAUGAGCACAUGAAGAAAAACAUGGGCUUAAGGAUUUAGAUCUGCUGCCUUUGGCUUCUUUUUGUAGACCACCUCUGCUUCAACAGAAGAAUCUGCUGUUGCUUGAACUAUGACUGACUUGCCAGCUGCAAAGCAACCACUCUACUUGCUCAUUCUGAAAUCCAUGCAAAUAUGUAAUUCCAUAGAUUUCCACCAGCAGCCAUGUUGGGAUGCCAGCCUACCUCCAAGGAAAUACAAAAUAUAUAUGUUUUGUCUUUCUACCUCUUCUCUUCUUUCGCAAGAUGGUGUGUACGUAGGAUUAUCAUCCCCGAAACAUUACUGCUACAUGUGUUUCCAGUGUCUGACUGUAAAACUCUCUGUCUCAAUAAAUGUUAGGGGAAAGACCUCAUUACUGUAUAUUGCUUUGUUCUUUCAACUCAAUGAAUUUUCACUAGCUCAUGGAAUGAUGGAGGCAAAUAGGGAUGUGCUGGUACAUACACAUAAUUAAUUAUUUCUAAUUCAUUACUUGAGUGUCCCAGUAAAGGAAUUAGUCAGAAUCCAUCAGAUAGAAAGCGAGGAAAGUGUGAUCAAUUCAGUCAUCCUGCUAUCACCAACUGUCACUUGGCUGUUCCCCUUCGAAACCAGAGUCCAUCAGCAGCCAGCACUUAUUUAUUUAUUUAUUUAUUUAUUAUCAUAUUUUUAUACUGCCUGAUAUACUUGCCUAUACUGUAGAUAUCUAGGCAGUGUACAAAAUGUAACACAAUAUUAAAGUCACAGAUUAAAACCCACAAAACACAAUAGAAACAAUUGCAUAAAACAGUUAUUAAAAUUAAUUCUAAUUAAAGCCUGCAAGAACAGGUGAGUGUUGAGGGUUGAAUGUUUGAGACUUAGAGUGUUUCUCUAAUAACUGUUUGCUUAGAAGUAUGCAGCUGAACAUGGGGAAGUUAAGCAUCUAGAGAUGGACAGUGCCAGACUUUAGAGCAGAUUCAAUUUCCCAAAAGCAACUAGCAAUGCUUUGAACCUCAUAAGGCUUGCCAGUCAGCUGUAUGUACCACACUCUGGUCUACUUAACUAACUACUUUCAACUGUGAAAUGGUUAUAUUCAGCCCAGUUCCAAGAAGGAUGCCACAGUCCUUUUAAAAGUAAACUUCAGAAAGAUUUUUAUUUCUGUUUCAGUCAAAGACCGUAAAUAAAGUAUGAUGAUGAUAAACUUCAGCAUAAUAAACAUAAUUUUUCUUAUUUUCAAGAAUUUCUUUAUUACAUGAUUUCUAGUAGUAUGGAAACAAAUUGAUAUUUUUUCCUGUCCUUUUAAAAGUGACUUUAUGUACAUCACACCACAGUA